rnacentral:rRNA from 1 species
UACAUAGGGUGCAAGCGUUGUCCGGAAUUAUUGGGCGUAAAGAGCUCGUAGGUCGUUUGUUACGUCGGAUGUGAAAACCUGAGGCUCAACCUCAGGCCUGCAUUCGAUACGGGCAAACUAGAGUUUGGUAGGGGAGACUGGAAUUCCUGGUGUAGCGGUGGAAUGCGCAGAUAUCAGGAGGAACACCAAUGGCGAAGGCAGGUCUCUGGGCCGUAACUGACGCUGAGGAGCGAAAGCGUGGGGAGCGAACAGG